CGGCGGACGGGUGAGUAACACGUGGGUAACCUACCUAUAAGACUGGGAUAACUUCGGGAAACCGGAGCUAAUACCGGAUAAUAUUUCGAACCGCAUGGUUCGAUAGUGAAAGAUGGUUUUGCUAUCACUUAUAGAUGGACCUGCGCCGUAUUAGCUAGUUGGUAAGGUAACGGCUUACCAAGGCGACGAUACGUAGCCGACCUGAGAGGGUGAUCAGCCACACUGGAACUGAGACACGGUCCAGACUCCUACGGGAGGCAGCAGGC
rnacentral:rRNA from 1 species